CCCUCUCUCUGGCGAUUAGGGUUGCCCCCACGCCGCCGCCAGGGGCUGACCACCGGCCUGGUUCCUCGUCCCGGCCGGUGCGCCGCCGAAUGCCUCCACCCCCAUCCUCCUACGUCCCCCAUCCGCCCUAAGAAGCUCUCCACUCCGCCGCCAGGAGCACUUCUGCUGCCCCUGCCGCUGCAAAUCAGGGGAGAUGACCACCCGCUAGCCACCACAGUCGGUCGCCUCCAUCCCCCCAUCCGUCGGACGAGCUUCUCCACCCAUCUGAGCUGCCCCACCGCAAACUAGCUCGCUGAAGCAAAUAGCAAAGGAAGAGUGGCGCCACCGGUGACUCUAGACCUCCCCAUCCCCGACAGCAACCAAAUAUUUGAGUGGAGUGGAGGGAGGAGAUAAGGGGAGGUAGAUAGGCGAUGAGUCCAGUUGAGAUUCCCCACUGGUAACAUCCAACUUCUCUUUUGCAAAAAAAACAUCCAACUUCUCUCUCCAUAACUUUGUGAAUGUUAUGUUGUAUGUCAAUUUGUUUUUGGGUGGCUGC